rnacentral:rRNA from 1 species
GAUGAACGCUGGCGGCGUGCUUAACACAUGCAAGUCGAACGAUGAAGCCCAGCUUGCUGGGUGGAUUAGUGGCGAACGGGUGAGUAACACGUGAGUAACCUGCCCUUAACUCUGGGAUAAGCCUGGGAAACUGGGUCUAAUACCGGAUAGGAGCGUCCACCGCAUGGUGGGUGUUGGAAAGAUUUAUCGGUUGUGGAUGGACUCGCGGCCUAUCAGCGUGUUGGUGAGGUAAUGGCUCACCAAGGCGACGACGGGUAGCCGGCCUGGGAGGGUGACCGGCCACACUGGGACUGCGACACGGCCCAGACUCCUCCGGGAGGCAGCAGUGGGGAAUAUUGCACAAUGGGCGCAAGCCUGAUGCAGCGACGCCGCGUGAGGGAUGACGGCCUUCGGGUUGUAAACCUCUUUCAGUAGGGAAGAAGCGACAGUGACGGUACCUGCAGAAGAAGCACCGGCUAACUACGUG